GUAUGUAAGACCCCUUGAAGACGACGAGGUAGAUAGGUUCGAGGUGGAAGCGCAGCAAUGCGUGGAGCUGACGAAUACUAAUCGGUCGAGGGCUUAUCCAA
rnacentral:rRNA from 1 species